UACAGAGGGGGGCGAGCGUUGUUCGGAAUUACUGGGCGUAAAGGGCGCGUAGGCGGCCAACUAAGUCAGACGUGAAAUCCCUCGGCUCAACCGGGGAACUGCGUCUGAUACUGGAUGGCUUGAAUUCGGGAGAGGGAUGCGGAAUUCCAGGUGUAGCGGUGAAAUGCGUAGAUAUCUGGAGGAACACCGGUGGCGAAGGCGGCAUCCUGGACCGAGAUUGACGCUGAGUGGCGCGAAAGCCAGGGGAGCAAACGGG
rnacentral:rRNA from 1 species